ACUACGAUUUUUGAUGGAAUAUUUACAUGGAUUGUGCCUAACUAGGUCAAGAAUAUAUGAUCCACAAAUGACAAUGCCAAAUAGACUCCCUCCUGUUCUCAUAACAUACUGAAGUUGAGGUUUCACUGGACCUCAAGCCAUUCCUCUUGCUGCCCAUCACCCAGAAACUAAUGUUUGGCCUGAAGGAAGAAUCAUGGUAAAACAUCCAAAAUCAUCAAGUCUUUCCCUGGACAAACAGGAAGGUGCGCCGAGCUCUUGGAGAAGUUGCUGAACAUCCUAAAGACUUUUGGGCAGAUGGAAAAGGGCUUGUCUGUCAAAUGCUUUUCAAUCGCCAAGAAGUUUGAGGUACCUGGAGAAUGCUUCCUCCUGUUCAUCCUCAUCCUGCUCUCAUGGCCUUUGUUAUCUGCACCAGUCCAUCUCUACACACCCCCAUGUACAUUUUUCUGAUGAACUUACGUAUCCUGAAAUUUGGUUACACUAGUUCUGUCAUACACAAUAUAUGGAGAGACUUGAAAGUGAGAUCUGAGGAAUCUCUCAGGAGGGAUGUGCCACACAGACGUUUUUCUUCACACUUUUUGUAUAAUUCAGUGCUGCCUAUUGCCAGCCAUGGCCUUUGUCCACUGUAUGGCCCUGCUUCAUUCUGCAGCCCAAAUGAGUAGUGAGAUGACAGAUAUCCUCCUAAUGCUUACCUGCGAUAAGCGAAGCAAGAAACACUUUGUGGUAUCUGUGUCAAGUACAUAUAAUCUCAACCUAAAAGAGGAAAACCACUGGGCAAAUCCAAAUUCAGAGACAUUCUUGCAAGGUGAAGAAUGGAGUAUCCACAAAUGACAAUACCAAAUAUACUCCCUCCUGUUCUUAUGAGCCUAUUGAGGUUGAGGUUUUACUGGAACUCAAGCCAUUCUUCUCCCUUCUCAUCAUCCCGUAUCUAUUGUUUGGCUUGAAGAAAGUAUCAUUGUAAAACAUCCAAAAGCUUGAAGUCUCACCCUUGGAACACAGGAAGGUAGAUAUUAAAGAAAUAAUAUCUAAUGUGACUACAGAACUGCAUUCUAUAGUCCAUGCUGUCCUUUGAUUCACUGAUGUCAGGUAAUUUCUGCAUUAAAUAAAAAUUUGGGCGUUUAUCAUUUGAAGUAGGUACACAAUAUUUACACUAUUAAAUUCACUCUUUAGCUUGGCCAGCUUUGUUGCGAAAAUCAUUGCAAAAAACUAGAUUUGGAAAACAGAAUUAUUGAGUACACAUUCAGGAAUAUCUAUAAAGUCCCCUAUCAAGGAAUUAACAAUUAGAAAAUUAAAUACAUAAUCCACUCAUUUUAAUAUCUGUAGGGAAACAAUGCCCUUUGGGAAACAGAUAGAACUUAGGAAAUUGAACUGUUUGUCACAGGAAUGGACCUGGUAAUAAAAUUAUCCAGAAGGCUCUCCUACAUCCCAUGUUACUAGGUAUUUUCUACACAUGCCAAGACCCUGAAUAACUUUGUCCAUUCAGAGCAGGUAACCACUCAUAAAGCAAAGGGAACUCUCUAGCAUUAGAGAGAUGUUCUGCAUAAAUGUUUCCACUGUGUCAAAGGAGACACUCCUGGAAAGGGCACCCUAGAAUCUGGUCAAUAUUAAGAAAGAUCUUUAGCAGGUAGGCCAUGGCAAUUCUCAGGGAUAAUGUCAUUAGGCCGUAUCUAAAAAAUCUCUUGCAACCUAGAGAGCCCUAGCUUUUUCUGUGAUAUCAAAAGUAAUGUCGUGACUGCAGCUGCCUCUCAGACAUUCCUUUAGUACCUCUAAGGUUUAUUAAUUGGCCUUUAUUUUAGUUUAAACAGCUAUUUAGGAGGGAGAACAAAUAGGAUGUAGAUAUCAGAGAUGGGGGGAAGGAAGUUGGCCUAAUGUUUUAGUUUAAAAAACGAAGAAAUACAUGGUACAUGGGAAAGCUCUGGGUACUGUGUAGGGGUUGUGAGGGUACACUGAACACAUCGCCUUGAUCUGAACCUUCAACAUAUUGGAUUCAGGAGGUGAGAGCCUCUCAGUUGCAUCUGCAUUUCCUUGCUGGUUAUGGCUCCUGGAAGUCAGAGAUUUUUUAUUAUUAAUUUCUUUAUUCCAAAAGGCAGGGAUUCGGAAGGGUUCAGUUGUUUUUCUGAGAGCUCAUGACUUUCAUUAUUUUUCUCCAUGAGAAAAAGUUCCUAAGGAAGGAGUGAUGACAAGUAUUGUAUCCUCUGCUCAGUGUAAAUUCCUCCUUGCUUUGGAUUCCUAUAGUGCACUUUGUUUCUGACACUGAUAUCUGUGACAGAGAUGUGCAUCUAGCUGCGACAUCAUCAUCUCGGUCUUUC